rnacentral:rRNA from 1 species
UUAGAGAUAGAGGAGUGCCUUCGGGAACGCUGAGACAGGUGCUGCAUGGCUGUCGUCAGCUCGUGUUGUGAAAUGUUGGGUUAAGUCCCGCAACGAGCGCAACCCUUAUCCUUUGUUGCCAGCACGUAAUGGUGGGAACUCAAAGGAGACUGCCGGUGAUAAACCGGAGGAAGGUGGGGAUGACGUCAAGUCAUCAUGGCCCUUACGAGUAGGGCUACACACGUGCUACAAUGGCAGAUACAAAGAGAAGCGACC